CAGGUAUGAACUCCUCAAUGAAAGUAAUCUAUAACAGGUAUGAACUCCUCAAUGAAAGUGAUCUAUAACAGGUAUGAACUCCUCAAUGAAAGUAAUCUAUAACAGGUAUGAACUCCUCAAUGAAAGUAAUCUAUAACAGGUAUGAACUCCUCAAUGAAAGUGAUCUAUAACAGGUAUGAACUCCUCAAUGAAAGUAAUCUAUAACAGGUAUGAACUCCUCAAUGAAAGUAAUCUA